rnacentral:rRNA from 1 species
GCAAGUCGAACGCGAAAGCUCUUCGGAGUGAGUAGAGUGGCGGACGGGUGAGUAACGCGUUGGAAUCUACCUAGUCGUGGGGGACAACUCGAGGAAACUCGAGCUAAUACCGCAUACGCUCUACGGGGGAAAGCGGGGGAUCUUCGGACCUCGCGCUAUUGGAUUGGCCUGCGGCUGAUUAGCUAGUUGGUAGGGUAAUGGCCUACCAAGGCGACGAUCCGUAGCUGGUCUGAGAGGACGACC